rnacentral:rRNA from 1 species
AUUGAACGCUGGCGGCAGGCCUAACACAUGCAAGUCGAGCGGAUGACGGGAGCUUGCUCCUUGAUUCAGCGGCGGACGGGUGAGUAAUGCCUAGGAAUCUGCCUGGUAGUGGGGGACAACGUUUCGAAAGGAACGCUAAUACCGCAUACGUCCUACGGGAGAAAGCAGGGGACCUUCGGGCCUUGCGCUAUCAGAUGAGCCUAGGUCGGAUUAGCUAGUAGGUGAGGUAAUGGCUCACCUAGGCGACGAUCCGUAACUGGUCUGAGAGGAUGAUCAGUCACACUGGAACUGAGACACGGUCCAGACUCCUACGGGAGGCAGCAGUGGGGAAUAUUGGACAAUGGGCGAAAGCCUGAUCCAGCCAUGCCGCGUGUGUGAAGAAGGUCUUCGGAUUGUAAAGCACUUUAAGUUGGGAGGAAGGGCAGUAAGUUAAUACCUUGCUGUUUUGACGUUACCGACAGAAUAAGCACCGGCUAACGCUGUGCCAGCCGCCGCAGUAAAAC